rnacentral:rRNA from 1 species
GACGAACGCUGGCGGCGCGCCUAACACAUGCAAGUCGAACGAGAGAUGAGGAGCUUGCUCUUCAAAUCGAGUGGCGAACGGGUGAGUAACGCGUGAGGAACCUGCCUCAAAGAGGGGGACAACAGUUGGAAACGACUGCUAAUACCGCAUAAGCCCACGGCUCGGCAUCCGGUAGAGGGAAAAGGAGCAAUCCGCUUUGAGAUGGCCUCGCGUCCGAUUAGCUAGUUGGUGAGGUAACGGCCCACCAAGGCGACGAUCGGUAGCCGGACUGAGAGGUUGAACGGCCACAUUGGGACUGAGACACGGCCCAGACUCCUACGGGAGGCAGCAGUGGGGAAUAUUGCACAAUGGGGGAAACCCUGAUGCAGCGACGCCGCGUGGAGGAAGAAGGUCUUCGGAUUGUAAACUCCUGUUGUUGAGGAAGAUAAUGACGGUACUCAACAAGGAAGUGACGGCUAACUACGUGCCAGCAGCCGCGGUAAAACGUAGGUCACAAGCGUUGUCCGGAAUUACUGGGUGUAAAGGGAGCGCAGGCGGGAGAACAAGUUGGAAGUGAAAUCCAUGGGCUCAACCCAUGAACUGCUUUCAAAACUGUUUUUCUUGAGUAGUGCAGAGGUAGGCGGAAUUCCCGGUGUAGCGGUGGAAUGCGUAGAUAUCGGGAGGAACACCAGUGGCGAAGGCGGCCUACUGGGCACCAACUGACGCUGAGGCUCGAAAGUGUGGGUAGCAAACAGGAUUAGAUACCCUGGUAGUCCACACCGUAAACGAUGAUUACUAGGUGUUGGAGGAUUGACC